AAUUUCAAAAUGGCGUUCAAACGGCGGUUGGUGGUUGAAGGCUCAGCUGGUCAGUAACGUCGCUGACGCCAACGCGACAACAUGUACUGCUGAUUUCCGACAUCAGCAACAUUGCUCCAGUUGAAGUGGUGUGCUUGGGUUGCGCUAUACUGCUCCUGCAUCAGCUUUGCCAACUCGAGAGUCAAUGACGAUACGAAACAAAUGCUCAGCAGCUUCAUGUUGUCCAUUUCUGCAGUUGUGAUGUCCUACCUUCAAAACUCACAGCCAAUGACACCUCCAUGGUCCAAUAUAUAAACAGUUCUAUAUUAUCGAUUGUUUUUGGUUGAAUGGAAAUGUAUAAUUGCCUCACCAUACUUGUAUUAAAAUUGUACUGCUGAAUGACA